CAAACCUGAACUACCUAGUGAAGACCUGCAGAAAAAGAAGUGGAAGAAUUCUGAGCCUCCUAAUUUGAGUGGAGGUUAUAGCACAAUAUUAUUAAGAUCAAACUGCCUCUUGCCUCAAAUCAAGAAGAAAAAAACUCUUCUUUGACUAAAGCCAGCUCCAGCUCUGAAGAAAGGCAGCCUGGCUUGCCCGACACACUUGGUACAGAAGCUUCUCCAGCAUAUGUUCCUGCCAACAGGAGACGAGAUCAACUUGCAUCAGAGGGAGGUCACUGGAUUCCUUGAAAAGAGAAGGUGGCUGUGCAUGACUUCCUGUCGUCGUGCUUUCCUAGGCUAUAGGGUAGCAACUGAUCUUCCUCAGCAAGUUCAGUGCCGUGGAGCAACAGGAUUCCUGUCAGCCCACCAGGAUGGUGACAUCUGUGCUCUUGCAUACCAAUGUUUGGGAAGGAGGCAUGAGACCUGACAUCCAGCACAGUCAGGAACCAGCUAAAUCAAGAUAAUGUGGAAAGAAGAGAAACUCCAGAUCUAUGGAGUAAGUAGCCUUAGUUGUUCUAGCUAUGCCUGGCUAAUCUGUCAGUAUUAAGGAAGACACUGAAUGUUGAAAAAAACAGAAAACAAAAAAAAAUCCCAAUGUCCAUGAGCAUUCUCUCAUGUACUAUAUGAAUAUAUAGUGGGAUUGCCUGGGAUUGGCCUCCCUUGAGGCAUUCAAGAACAGAUUGGACAUGGCCUGCCCGCAGCAGGGAUAUGGAUCUCGAUAAUCUUAAAUAUCUCUUCCAACCUAAACUAUUCUAUGAUUCUAUGGUUCCAUGUAAAUCACAGUAUUUUGUAGAAGUUUGGUUUUUUUUACCUCUUAUGGGGAAAAUUCAAGAUAUUGUUUUCAUUUGAUGAGUUGCUUAAAGUAUUGUAAGUGAAUGCUAUGAACUAUCUGUGUAUGAUAUUUGACAUGUUAAAGAUGUAGUAUUGCAACACAGAAUGACAUACAAAACCAAAGUGAAAUAGUUCUGAGCAAAAUAUUUUAAAACAUCUUGUACUGAUUUUUGCAUGUUUUCUAUCUCUCUCUCUUUUUUUUUUUUUUUUAAUUUAAGAAUUUACAAUAGCAGGAAAUGAUUUUUCCAGGAGUAGUUCUUACUCUAACAACGAACAAGAAUUAUUGAAAUGUUGAAUGGCCUGCAAACAGAAAUUUCAGUUCUCAGCUGGCUCUGUCCACUGGUAUAUCAACAUAUUUUUGAACACUGAAACAAUCCAUGGCAAAGACAAUAGAUAGC
rnacentral:lncRNA from 1 species